GACGAACCGUGCGAACGUUGUUCGGAAUCACUGGGCUUAAAGGGCGCGUAGGCGGGUCGAAAAGUCCGUGGUGAAAUCCCCCCGCUCAACGGGGGAACGGCCGCGGAUACUGUCGGCCUCGAGGGGGGUAGGGGCGAGCGGAACGCUGGGUGGAGCGGUGAAAUGCGUUGAUAUCUACAGGAACUCCGGUGGCGAAAGCGGCGCGCUGGACCUCUUCUGACGCUGAGGCGCGAAAGCUAGGGGAGCAAACGGG
rnacentral:rRNA from 1 species